GACGAACCGUGCAACGUUGUUCGGAAUCACUGGGCUUAAAGGGCGCGUAGGCGGUCGGUCAAGUCCGGGGUGAAAUCUUUCGGCUCAACCGGAAAGUGCCUUGGAUACUGAUCGGCUGGAGGGAGUAGGGGCAGUUGGAACUUCCAGUGGAGCGGUGAAAUGCGUUGAUAUUGGAAGGAACGCCGGUGGCGAAAGCGAGCUGCUGGGCCUCUUCUGACGCUGAGGCGCGAAAGCUAGGGGAGCAAACGGGAUUAGAAACCCUAGUAGU
rnacentral:rRNA from 1 species